AGUGAACGCUGGCGGUAGGCCUAACACAUGCAAGUCGAACGAGUGGCGGACGGGUGAGGAAUACAUCGGAAUCUCCUCUGUCGUGGGGGAUAACGUCGGGAAACUUACGCUAAUACCGCAUACGAUUGAAUGUGCCGAUGUCGGAUUAGCUAGUUGGCGGGGUAAAGGCCAACCAAGGCGACGGUCCGUAGCUGGUCUGAGAGGAUGAUCAGCCACACUGGAACUGAGACACGGUCCAGACUCCUACGGGAGGCAGCAGUGGGGAAUAGUGGACAAUGGGCGCAAGCCUGAUCCAGCCAUACCGCGUGGGUGAAGAAGGCCUUCGGGUUGUAAAGCACUUUUGUUGUGAAAGCGGUACCCAAAGAAUAAGCACCGGCUAACUUCGUGCCAGCAGCCGCGGUAAUAC
rnacentral:rRNA from 1 species